GCCACCGAGCCUGGCUGUUGGGGGAGGGGGAUGGUCUUUCGAGCUCUCCCAAGCCUUACUGGUCCCUGUGCUGCAGCCUGGGGGGCCACGAAGAGGCACUGGUGCUCGGCUUGUCCACGGCCAGGGCUCAGGGCAGAAUGGAGCAGCACGCUUGUUCCCUGCUGGGUUGUCAGGUGUGGAGAGGGUGCUCCUGGGGUUGUGGUGGCCUGGGGCACUCACGGCCCCAUCCCCCAGAUGCCCCGUGGUGUGGGCACUGCCAGGCCCUGGCCCCCGAGUACAGCAAGGCAGCUGCCGUGCUCGCGGCCGAGUCAACGGUGGUCACGCUGGCCAAGGUGGACGGGCCCGCGCAGCGCGAGCUGGCUGAGGAGUUUGGUGUGACGGAGUACCCUACGCUCAAGUUCUUCCGCAACGGGAACCGCACGCACCCGGAGGAGUACACAGGUGAGGGGCAGGCCGGUCACGGGGGGGCGGUGGCCAGGCCGAGGCUGAGGGGGACUCCCUGCAGGACCACGGGACGCUGAGGGCAUUGCCGAGUGGCUGCGACGGCGGGUGGGGCCCAGUGCCACGCGGCUGGAGGACGAGGCGGCCGCCCAGGCGCUGAUCGGUGGCCGGGACCUAGUGGUCAUCGGCUUCUUCCAGGACCUGCAGGACGAGGACGUGGCCGCCUUCUUGGCCCUGGCCCAGGACGCCCUGGACAUGACCUUUGGCCUCACAGACCGGCCGCGGCUCUUUCAGCAGUUUGGUCUCAGCAAGGACACUGUGGUUCUCUUCAAGAAGGUAGGUCAGGCCCAGGUGAGGGUUGGGGUCCGGCUGCCGCGCCCGCUGACCCACCUGCUGCUGUCCAGUUUGACGAGGGGCGGGCAGACUUCGCCGUGGACGAGGAGCUUGGCCUGGACCUGGGGGAUCUGUUGCGCUUCCUGGUCACACACAGCAUGCGCCUGGUCACGGAGUUCAAUAGCCAGGUGCGUAGGCUGCAGUGCCUGGGCUGGGGGUGUCCCAGGGUAGAGUCGUCCAGGGAUGGGGGUGCCCAGGCUGGGGGUCCUGUGGAGUCAUGAGCACCCUCCCUACUGUAGACGUCUGCCAAGAUCUUCGCGGCCAGGAUCCUCAACCACCUGCUGCUUUUUGUCAACCAGACGCUGGCUGCGCACCGGGAGCUCCUAGCGGGCUUUGGGGAGGCAGCUCCCCGCUUCCGGGGGCAGGUACUGGGGUCCAGGGGGAGGGGCAGCUGGAUGGGGGCAGGUACUGGGGGGCUGGGGGAAAGGGGCAGCGGGAGAGUGGCCGGUGCCAGCAUGGACUCCCUGCCACAGGUGCUGUUCGUGGUGGUGGACGUGGUGGCCGACAAUGAGCACGUGCUGCAGUACUUUGGCCUCAAGGCUGAGGCAGCCCCCACUCUGCGCUUGGUCAACCUUGAAACCACUAAAAAGUAUGCGCCUGUGGAUGGGGGCCCUGUCACCGCAGCAUCCAUCACUGCUUUCUGCCAUGCAGUCCUCAACGGCCAAGUCAAGCCCUAUCUCCUGAGCCAGGAGAUACCCCCUGAUUGGGAUCAGCGGCCAGUUAAGACCCUCGUGAGCAAGAAUUUUGAGCAGGUGGCUUUUGACGAAACCAAGAAUGUGUUUGUCAAGUUCUGUGAGUGUUGAGGGAGGCAGGGGUGGUGUGGGCUGGGCAGGGGCUGCCCAGAUGGCUGUGCUCAACGGCUCCCAUCCUAGAUGCCCCGUGGUGUACCCACUGCAAGGAGAUGGCCCCUGCCUGGGAGGCAUUGGCUGAGAAGUACCAAGACCACGAGGACAUCAUCAUUGCUGAGCUGGAUGCCACGGCCAACGAGCUGGAUGCCUUCGCUGUGCACAGCUUCCCUACCCUCAAGUACUUCCCAGCAGGGCCAGGUCGGAAGGUGAUUGAAUACAAAAGCACCAGGGAUCUGGAGACUUUCUCCAAGUUCCUGGACAAUGGGGGCGUGCUGCCCAAGGAGGAGCCCCCGGAGGAGCCAGCAGCCCCAUUCCUGGAGCCACCGGCCAACUCCACUAUGGGGUCCAAGGAGGAACUGUAGCUGCCCCCGUCACCCCCCCCCCUUCACUGCUGGACAGGAGCCACCCCCUUGGGUACCAGAGGGAGCUGUGCACUGUGAAUAAAGAAAGAGCUUGG
rnacentral:sRNA from 1 species